AGAGUUUGAUCAUGGCUCAGAAUCAACGCUGGCGGCGUGCCUAACACAUGCAAGUCGCACGAGAAAGGGUAGCAAUACCUGAGUAAAGUGGCGCACGGGUGAGUAACACGUGACUAACCUACCCUCGAGUGGGGAAUAACCUAGAGAAAUCUGGGCUAAUACCGCAUAACACUUACGAGUCAAAGCAGCAAUGCGCUUGGGGAGGGGGUCGCGGCCGAUUAGCUAGUUGGCGGGGUAAUGGCCCACCAAGGCGAUGAUCGGUAUCCGGCCUGAGAGGGCGCACGGACACACUGGAACUGAAACACGGUCCAGACUCCUACGGGAGGCAGCAGUGGGGAAUUUUGCGCAAUGGGGGAAACCCUGACGCAGCAACGCCGCGUGGAGGAUGAAAUAUCUUGGUAUGUAAACUCCUUUCGAUGGGGAAGAUUAUGACGGUACCCAUAGAAGAAGCCCCGGCUAACUUCGUGCCAGCAGCCGCGGUAAUACGAGGGGGGCAAGCGUUGUUCGGAUUUAUUGGGCGUAAAGGGUGCGUAGGCGGUUUGGCAAGUCUGAUGUGAAAUCUAUGGGCUCAACCCAUAGUCUGCAUCAGAAACUGCCGGGCUUGAGUAUGGGAGAGGUGAGUGGAAUUUCCGGUGUAGCGGUGAAAUGCGUAGAUAUCGGAAGGAACACCUGUGGCGAAAGCGGCUCACUGGACCAUUACUGACGCUGAUGUACGAAAGCUAGGGGAGCAAACAGGAUUAGAUACCCUAGUAGUCC
rnacentral:rRNA from 1 species